rnacentral:lncRNA from 1 species
AUUCUGGCGCGACCAGCCACUCCACUGCCCGCCCAGCGUGAUCUCUUCGCUCUGAUAGUUGAGCUUGAAGAGCUAGAGGUUGCUCUGGGGAUCCUCAAAAAAAAAAAAAAAGGCUAUUCUGGGGUCCGCGCAUUCCCUGCCCCGCUCCACCAUGCCCUCCCUCGACGACGAUCUCGCCGAGGAAAAGCACGAGUGGGCUUGUGCCGUCGCCUUACUCACCGCAAGCAAGUGGCCAACCGCACCUCUAAGCUUCGCCGCAGCUGCCGCCUUGCUGCGAUGGAGGUUAGAUACCACGAACGCUCAUCUUCUCCACUGCAUCAAAAUCUUAUCCUCCUGAUCUGAUCACUGAAAAUAUGCGGAGGCAAAACAGGUUAUUGGCCAAUACUAAUAAGGUGAGCCUGUCCUCCGGCAAAAGAAAACGCGAUUUGUUACGGUACCUGGCCAGUUAUGCCGUUUGCGGUGUGGUCUGACAAAUUUGAGGAAAGUUAAUUGAGAAAUGUUGCUUGGCAAUCCAAAUAUCUAGAAAGCAGUCUGUAACUCUGUACACGAAUUUGUGCUCUCCAUCAAACUAAUCAAUUGUGCACCCGUUGUUAGACAACAUAGUCGAGGAAUAUAUAUACAACUCCGCAAAGCGUAGAAAUAUGGAUACAUGAGCUAUAACGUGCAGGAUAUUGGACCCCACCAGAUAUAAUUAAAAA